GCCGCGGUCGUAUAGUCCGGUCAAGUAUGCUGCCCUUUCGAGGCGGUCACCUGGGUUCAAAUCCCAGCCGCGGCA
rnacentral:tRNA from 1 species